rfam:Lentibacillus amyloliquefaciens strain LAM0015, complete genome.
ACGAUGUUCCGCUGUCCCAUAGAGUGAUAUGAGCAUUAG